rnacentral:rRNA from 1 species
UAGGGAAUCUUCCACAAUGGACGCAAGUCUGAUGGAGCAACGCCGCGUGAGUGAAGAAGGUUUUCGGAUCGUAAAGCUCUGUUGUUGGUGAAGAAGGAUAGAGGUAGUAACUGGCCUUUAUUUGACGGUAAUCAACCAGAAAGUCACGGCUAACUACGUGCCAGCAGCCGCGGUAAUACGUAGGUGGCAAGCGUUGUCCGGAUUUAUUGGGCGUAAAGCGAGCGCAGGCGGAAGAAUAAGUCUGAUGUGAAAGCCCUCGGCUUAACCGAGGAACUGCAUCGGAAACUGUUUUUCUUGAGUGCAGAAGAGGAGAGUGGAACUCCAUGUGUAGCGGUGGAAUGCGUAGAUAUAUGGAAGAACACCAGUGGCGAAGGCGGCUCUCUGGUCUGCAACUGACGCUGAGGCUCGAAAAGCAUGGG